rnacentral:rRNA from 1 species
AUGCAUGUCUAAGUCCAAGCUGUGUUUACACGGCGAGACCGCGGACGGCUCAUUAAAUCAGUCGUUGUCCAAAUGGGCCAGUCCUUACUACUUGGAUAACUGUGGUAAUUCCAGAGCUAAUACAUGCAACUGUUAACCCCGAAGGCGGGAGCUUGCCUCUUGCUCGACGGGUGCUUUUAUUAGACCAAACCGCUGGGAGAGACUCACGUCUCUCGACUCGCUGUGUGGUGACUCUGGAUAACCAAUUUUGACAAGCGCACGUACCCCUCGUGGGACGGCGCUGCCACUUUCGAGUGUCUGCCUUAUCAGCUGUCAACCGUUCGUUACACGCGACCGAUGGCUUUGACGGGUAACGGGGAAUCAGGGUUCGAUUCCGGAGAGGCAGCCUGAGAGACGGCUACCACGUCCAAGGACGGCAGCAGGCACGCAAAUUACCCAAUCCCAGCACCUGGGGGAGGUAGUGACGAAACCUAACGAUGCGGGCGCCCUUUACGGGCCCCGCAAUCGGAAUGAGCACUUUCUAAACAACCUGUUGAGAACCUACUGAAGGGCAAGUCUGGUGCCAGCAGCCGCGGUAAUUCCAGCUUCAGUAGCAUCUAUUAAAGUUGCUGCGGUUAAAAGGCUCGCAGUUGAAUGUCAGUGCCGGUUGUUGGUAGGUGGACGUUGGGGUGUCAGUUAAAGGCGCAAGCCAACUGGUCGCUCCCGUCCGUUACAAGCCUCCGCGACCGUGUACACAGUGGCGCCAAGCGGAGGGGAUGCGUUCGCGUGUUCUUCUCUCUGGUGCCAAUGUCACCCUGAGUAAAUCAGAGUGCUUAAAGCAGUCGUAUUGGGGCGCAAGCCCUUUGAACACAGUCGCUCCUCGCGGGUGACACGGACAGACUUGG